rnacentral:hammerhead_ribozyme from 1 species
GCAUUGCUGAAGAGUCCAGCAAUAGGACUGUUGAGGAGUCCCAUAAUAGGACGAAACGGUCGUUCAAUGU